rnacentral:tRNA from 1 species
CGGGAGGUAGCUUAGGGCAGAGCACUGCCUAUGGAGGGCAGCGGUCGAGGUUCGACUCCUUGCCUCCCGGCCA